rnacentral:misc_RNA from 1 species
GAUGAAGAACGCAGCGAAAUGCGAUAAGUAAUGUGAAUUGCAGAAUUCAGUGAAUCAUCGAAUCUUUGAACGCACAUUGCGCCCGCCAGUAUUCUGGCGGGCAUGCCUGUUCGAGCGUCAUUACAACCCUCAGGCCCCCGGGCCUGGCGUUGGGGAUCGGCGGAAGCCCCCUGCGGGCACAACGCCGUCCCCCAAAUACAGUGGCGGUCCCGCCGCAGCUUCCAUUGCGUAGUAGCUAACACCUCGCAACUGGAGAGCGGCGCGGCCACGCCGUAAAACACCCAACUUCUGAAUGUUGACCUCGAAUCAGGUAGGAAUACCCGCUGAACUUAAGCAUAUCAAUAAGCGGGGGA